AAGCCAGAAAAGCUGAAAACAUAAGGUCAAAGACAAAACAAUCAAAAGGGAUUGAAAAGAUUAUCAAGUCAUCCAAUGGCAAGAAAAUUACAAAGGCAUGAAUAGACCAGCGGAUCAAUUUUGAAACCAAGUCCUGGAUAACUCGGAUAUUAAAGACGCCAAAAUAUAACUUAAAAAGCAAGAAAAGCUCUGAGCAGCAGAAGCAUUUCUCAGAAGUAAAGCCUGUCUGCAAGAAUUUUUCUAUGUUUCCUGGGUCAACAAAAUCAUAAGCAAUAAAAGCAGGAUCACCUUGAAGCCACAGCUUUUCUUUAAGACAACACUCAGGCACAUAACGCCUUCUUGCUACCGAGCUCCUUCAAGCCUCCAUCUUCAUCUACACCACCAUCGUCUAGGCUCCCUAUCACCGGUGGGACUCUGUUCUGCUGUGAUGGGACAUCAGAGUCUAACCGCCAAAUACCUCAAACACGGAUAAAACAUGUUCAGUUCCUUCUUAUGAUCUCUCCUUAUACAGAAAGUUUUGUUGCCAUACUUCUUUGCUCUGCUUUUUAUCAUGCAACUAUUGUGAUAAAGCUGUGGUGUGUCUAGGUUCAGGUUCAUGCCAGAUGGCUGCCCCUCCCUGAGCCUGGUUCUGCUGGAGGUUUCUUCCUGUUAAAGGGAGUUUUUCCUUCCCGUUGUCGCCAUCUGGGAGCCAUCUGAGGGAGUUUUCUUUUUAUUAUUGUAUGUUCUUUACCUUACAAAAACACCUUGAGGUGACUGUUCUUGUGAUUUGGUGCUUUUUUAAUUGAAUUGAAUCCAUUUAUAUCUUUAUUCAUACAUGUUUAUAUCUUCUUUGAAUGAUAGAGUUUUUAUAUGUAUUUGUGGAUGAUACAGUGAACUGUGUUCACAGAUGAUCAGUGAUUUUUGGAAGUGUUCCUGAGCCUAUGCAAUGAUUUCCAUGAUACAAUCUGUUUUUAAUGUUUUUAAUGCUAAAGACACAGAAGCUCUCCCCGGGGCCCACUUAGGACAUGAGUGUCGACACAUAAUGUGCCCUUGUACACAAAAGAACAUAGGAUGGAGCAGUCAUUCAGCAACAAUCCCUGGCAAACACAGGAUUACACUGAAAAUAGUACUUUGUUUCACUACGUAAUUCAAUCCCACCAGUACUUGGUGGUUGAUGAUGUAUCCAGUUUAAGUAAUUGGUUCAACUGAUAAGAAGACAAUAAGGAUGACUUGCUAAUAAAAUGUCAGUUUAUGUUUGUAUUUAGUUCCUGAGAAAAACUAAAUACUGGAAAACUCUAUGUUACAGUUUCUAGAUUAUUUGUCCACGUAGCAUUUGAAAUCCUAAAGGGAGGGAAGUGUAUUAACUUUCCUAGCCCUACAAAGGUUUACACAGCUGAGGUUUCUAGUUUCACACUCCUCUUUGCUGAGCCACAGGCCAUUUAAGGACUCAAAGAGUAAGGCAACAAAAAAAAGACCCUUAAAUUUAGACUUUAUUUUUCAGUAGACAAAUGAAUUAUCAUCAUAUAGGCAGCUA